GAGCAAGGAUGAUCUGUGCUGUUGCCUGACUUAAAAUGAAGGCUUCUACACUUGAACUGAGCUCA
rnacentral:snoRNA from 1 species